rnacentral:lncRNA from 1 species
UCUUGCACGAUCUUUCUUCCUCGAUGUGUAGGUCGCCAGUGGCAGAAGCAUACACACCUUUGCCUCUUCACUUUUCUUGGCCAGAGAUAAACAUGCCUCUGCCACUAGCACAUUAAAGAAAAUCAGUAGAUAAUGUGACAAGGAAAUGAUGUGAAAUCUAACCCAUAUUUGGCCACUCACACACACAAAACUAUUAAGACAACAUACAGCUUACAAAUGUGUUGUUCUGUGAGUGUAAGCGUAAACCAUACUGUAUUAUUGAAUAUCGUGU